rnacentral:lncRNA from 1 species
GAGAAAUCGGAGUUCAGCGAUUAUUUCCCAUUUGUAAUUACGAGUUGGCGGGCCGUUCAAUUGGAUUUCCCCCAGUCGUACACUGGUAAUUACGAAUGUACGAGUUGUUAUGAACGCAGCAUUAGACAAUGUCGUUUGACAGCUGGCCAGUGGAUCGCAUGCGCCAAAAGACGCUGCUGAAUGAAUAGGAGGGAAAUCACCAACGACCCAAUAACCUCGGGCGCCUUGCAUGUCAUCUGCUCAAAUUAUGACCAUCUCGCCGCCUCUGCUUUCUCUAACAAAGAUAUCUGUUUCCUGGACCUUGAAUGGCGCUGGUCACCGUUCAGCGUUCGCCAACACCCAGCGUUAGCUCCAGUCCCUGCCUUUCGGAGGCAGACAGUGGUGAGGAUGAUCGUCGCUCCCAGCCCCGGAGCAUCAGCGAGAGCUUCCUGACGGUGAAGGGCGCCGCUGUCUUCCUGCCUCGGGGAAAUGGCUCCUCCCCUUCCUCGGCGCCCCGCAUCAGCCAGCGGCGGAACAAACACACAGGUGACCUCCAGCAGCACCUGCAGACCAUGUUCACUGUGCUGCGGCCAGAAGACAGCAUCCGCCUGGCUGUGCGCCUGGAGAGUGCGUACGCUCAGCCUCAGUGCACGCGUUACAUGGUGGUGGUGUCCACCAAUGGGAGACAGGACACUGAGGAGAGCGUGGUGCUGGGCCUGGACUUUGGCUCUUCAGACAGCUCAUGCACAAUGGGGCUGGUUCUACCUCUGUGGAGCGACACACUGAUCCACUUGGACGGAGAUGGGGGCUUCAGUGUGUCCACGGUCAACAGGGUCCAUGUCUUCAAACCGGUCUCUGUCCAGGCCAUGUGGUCUGCCCUGCAGUCGCUCCACAAGGCGUGUGAGGUGGCCCGCUGUCACAACUACUACCCCAGCAGUCUGUUCCUGACCUGGGUCAGCUACUACCAGAGCCAAGUCUCCUCCGACCAGGUCUGCAUCAACGAGUGGAACGCCAUGCAGGACGUCCAGUCCCACCGCGCCGACUCGCCCGUCCUCUUCACUGACGUGCCCACAGAGAGGGAGCGCACGGAGAGGUUGAUCAAGACUCGCCUCAGAGAGAUCAUGAUGCAGAAAGACCUGGAGAAUGUCACCUCUAAAGAGAUUCGCACAGAGCUGGAGAUGCAGAUGGUGUGCAACCUUCGGGAGUUCAAGGAGUUUAUUGACAACGAGAUGAUCGUCAUCCUGGGUCAGAUGGACAGCCCCACAGAGAUCUUUGACCAUGUUUACCUGGGCUCUGAGUGGAAUGCUUCCAACUUGGAGGAGCUGCAGACCAGCGGUGUGAGGUACAUCCUCAACGUGACGCGGGAGAUCGACAACUUCUUCCCAGGCAUGUUUGAGUACCACAACAUCCGCGUGUACGACGAGGAGGCCACCAACCUGCUGGAGUACUGGAACGACACCUACAAGUUCAUCACCAAGGCCAGGAAAGCAGGGGCUAAGUGCCUAGUCCACUGUAAGAUGGGUGUGAGUCGCUCGGCCUCCACGGUGAUAGCUUACGCCAUGAAGGAGUACGGCUGGGACCUGGAGAGGGCCUUCGACUACGUCAAGGAGCGCCGCGGCGUCACCAAGCCCAACCCCUCCUUCAUGAAGCAGCUGGAGGAGUACCAGGGUAUCCUGCUGGCCAGUAAACAGAGGCACAACAAGUUGUGGCGCUCCCACUCGGACAGCGACCUCUCAGAGCGCCACGAGGCUCCGCUGUGUAAGACGGGCCCUCACAGCCACACCCUGGGCCUCUCGGAACCACACAACAACAAUGGCCCCACGCCCUCCCUGCAACACUUCCUGCUCCAGACCGAGGGCUCCCACAUCUCAGACACACAGUCAGAGCCCGUCCGACUCACCCGCUCACACUCCCACUCCCCUGGCCUGCCAGCCUCCAACGGUUUGUGUGACUCCCGGGAGAGCCUCUUUUCUCGAGGGCGAGGACCCCGCAAGGACUCCUUCCUCCCGCUGGCAGUCACGGUGGUGCCCGAGGAGAGAACGGACAACUCUAGGGGGGACAGUGUCAGUAUGAUGUCCCCAGGGACCCCCAUGGCCGUGAGCCCUCUCACUCCAACAGCGCCUCGGUCUUUAGGACCCUACGCCAACGAUGACAACAACAACCCCAGCGGGAGCGGUGACACAGACACUAUCCCCGCUAACCCUGUCGACGCCACAUGCAUCACCGCGUCCUCCAACCUCGGCACGGACAGCAUCGACUUCUUCAGCGCCCGUGAGAAAUUCCUGGGCCUGUCCCAAGACGGGAAGACCCGGACUCUUUCCGAGCAGAUGGCUCAGCGGACGCCUCAGUCACGGUGCCCCAGCCAGGAGCUGCAGCCGCUGUCCCCCGAGAACCCUGCUGGUGCACUGCCACCACUGCCAAGCACAGAGGAAGAGGAUCACGAAAAAGCCUCGUCGCCUCCCCAUCACGAGAACGGGGUGUCAGUCCGCCAUAUUGUCACGGAGAUAGAGUCCAUAUCCCACCCGCCGGCGGCGCCCCUCUCCUCCAGCCAGCCGGCCCCCCGCAGCCCCCAGCAGCUGCACCCAGACGACCGGGACGAGGAGACCCCAUUGACCUCGCCCUCCUCCUACCCACAAUCCCCCUCCACGCCUCUGUCGGAUUGGCCGACCGGCUCGGUGCGCAGGGCCACCAAACAGCUGGAGCAGAGGCUGAGGCAGGAGCUGGACUUAGCUCUCAGCAACACGUCUACCCAACGCUCCCCUCUCCACUCUCCCAGUGCAGAGUUCCACCCCACGGGCUCCCCUCUCCAUACGCCAAGCACGGACUGCCCACCCCUCCUCGCUCCUACCACAGACUGCCCCAAGCAGCGUAGGCCUACCCCUGAUCCUGAGCAAGGAAGAACUCUGAACGAGGCGUUCACUGUGUCGGCAGAGCCCAAAGGAGAGACGGAGCAGGGAGGGUUUGUCGUCUCAGACAUGGACGUUGCCCCAGCCCCUUCCUUCUCUCACUACCCAGAUGCCAGCCACACCCCUGAGCCCAUCCCAAUCAUCGCAUGUUCUUCUCUAGCGCCAUCUAGGGUCCAGCCCCAGACCCCCCCUGCACUGCUGUGGCUGGAGGGGGUGACGGCCCUUGACUCAGACACGGAUGGCCCCUCCCCUCCCCCGCCCCACGAUGGAAGGCUGGCCCUGGCACGCAGCAGUGAGGAGCUGGAGAAGAUCCAGGAGACUCUGAGGGAGCUGCAGGCCUUCCUGUACGAGGCGGGGGGCCUGGGGGCUGGAGAGAGACCUGGUCAGGGGCAGCAUCACAGGGAGACUCCCGUGUGGCAGAGGGCCAUGGAGAUCGAGGCGCGGAUCCGCCAAGCGGGCCUCACGCCCCCCUCCUUGAUGAAGCGCUCAGCCUCGCUGGCCAAGCUGGACUGCCUGGAGCUGUCAGCCAACGACCUGAGUGACUGGGACCUACGGCCCACCACCGCCAGCCCUCACGGACCCCCAUUGAUGCCCACCCCUCACCCCUGCUCCCACCAUCACCCCAGCCCAGACGAUGUCUCCAAGAAGCAGCGGGUGUUGUCCCGCAGCCCCCCCACCACCUACAGGGCCCCCCUAGGGGGGGUGUUCCCACUGGACUCAGACAGGACUGAUAGGGGCUCCCAGAGUGCAGGGAGUGAUCCUCCCUGUCUCUCCUCACCUCCAUGUCUUGUUCUUCAAGGGGAGGAGGAGCUAGAGACAGACCCCUCCCCCCGGCUCACCCGCACCCAGUCCCCGGCGAGCGCUCCCGACGUCACUAUGACAACCGCGCUGCAGCAACCCCGCGGGAAGAGUCACCCGCUGCGGCGGCUCCGCAAGGCUGCCGACAAGAAACGGACUGCCACUGUUCUCUACCACACCAUGUGA